UAGCGGCGGACGGGUGAGUAACGCGUGGGCAACCUGCCUUGCACAGGGGGAUAACACAGGGAAACUUGUGCUAAUACCGCAUAACAUCACGGGGAGGCAUCUUCCUGUGAUCAAAGGAGAAAUCCGGUGCAAGAUGGGCCCGCGUCCGAUUAGCUAGUUGGCGGUGUAACGGACCACCAAGGCGACGAUCGGUAGCCGAACUGAGAGGUUGAUCGGCCACAUUGGGACUGAGACACGGCCCAGACUCCUACGGGAGGCAGCAGUGGGGAAUAUUGCGCAAUGGAGGAAACUCUGACGCAGCAACGCCGCGUGAAGGAUGAAGGUCUUCGGAUUGUAAACUUCUUUGAUGAGGGACGAAGGAAGUGACGGUACCUCAAAAACAAGCCACGGCUAACUACGUGCCAGCAGCCGCGGUAAUACGUAGGUGGCGAGCGUUGUCCGGAAUUACUGGGUGUAAAGGGCGCGUAGGCGGGGAUGUAAGUCAGAUGUGAAAUACCAUGGCUCAACCGUGGGGCUGCAUCUGAAACUAUGUUUCUUGAGUGCUGGAGAGGAAAGCGGAAUUCCUAGUGUAGCGGUGAAAUGCGUAGAUAUUAGGAGGAACACCAGUGGCGAAAGCGGCUUUCUGGACAGUAACUGACGCUGAGGCGCGAAAGCGUGGGGAGCGAACAGGAUUAGAUACCCUGGUAGUCCACGCCGUAAACGAUGGAUACUAGGUGUAGGAGGUAUCGACCCCUUCUGUGCCGGAGUAAACACAAUAAGUAUCCCACCUGGGGAGUACGGCCGCAAGGUUGAAACUCAAAGGAAUUGACGGGGGCCCGCACAAGCAGUGGAGUAUGUGGUUUAAUUCGAAGCAACGCGAAGAACCUUACCAGGGCUUGACAUACAGAGGGAUAUGUCAGAGAUGGCAUAGCUCUUCGGAGCCUCUGUACAGGUGGUGCAUGGUUGUCGUCAGCUCGUGUCGUGAGAUGUUGGGUUAAGUCCCGCAACGAGCGCAACCCUUGUUGUUAGUUGGUAACACGUAAAGGUGACCACUCUAACGAGACUGCCGGUGACAAAUCGGAGGAAGGUGGGGACGACGUCAAAUCAUCAUGCCCCUUAUGUCCUGGGCUACACACGUACUACAAUGGCUACAACAAAGGGAAGUGAAGCCGUAAGGCGGAGCAAAUCCCCAAAAGUAGUCCCAGUUCGGAUUGUGGGCUGCAACCCGCCCACAUGAAGUCGGAAUUGCUAGUAAUGGCAGGUCAGCAUACUGCCGUGAAUACGUUCCCGGGCCUUGUACACACCGCCCGUCACACCAUGAGAGUCAGCAACACCCGAAGUCAGUAGCUUAACCGCAAGGAGGGCGCUGCCGAAGGUGGGGC
rnacentral:rRNA from 1 species